rnacentral:rRNA from 1 species
GCGGCAAACGGGCGUGCUACCAUGCAAGUCGAGCGGUAAGGCCCUUCGGGGUACACGAGCGGCGAACGGGUGAGUCCAUUUGGGUGAUCUGCCUUGCACUCUGGGAUAAGCCUGGGAAACUGGGUCUAAUACCGGAUAUGAGCCUGGACUGCAUGGUCCGGGUUGGAAAGGUUUACUGGUGCGAGAUGGGCCCGCGGCCUAUCAGCUUGUUGGUGGGGUAACGGCCUACCAAGGCGACGACGGGUAGCCGACCUGAGAGGGUGACCGGCCACACUGGGACUGAGACACGGCCCAGACUCCUACGGGAGGCAGCAGUGGGGAAUAUUGCACAAUGGGCGAAAGCCUGAUGCAGCGACGCCGCGUGAGGGAUGACGGCCUUCGGGUUGUAAACCUCUUUUGACAGGGACGAAGCGCAAGUGACGGUACCUGUAGAAGAAGCACCGGCCAACUACGUGCCAGCAGCCGCGGUAAUACGUAGGGUGCGAGCGUUGUCCGGAAUUACUGGGCGUAAAGAGCUUGUAGGCGGUCUGUCGCGUCGAUUGUGAAAACUUGCAGCUCAACUGCAAGCUUGCAGUCGAUACGGGCAGACUAGAGUACUUCAGGGGAGACUGGAAUUCCUGGUGUAGCGGUGAAAUGCGCAGAUAUCAGGAGGAACACCGGUGGCGAAGGCGGGUCUCUGGGAAGUAACUGACGCUGAGAAGCGAAAGCGUGGGUAGCGAACAGGAUUAGAUACCCUGGUAGUCCACGCCGUAAACGGUGGGUACUAGGGUGUGGGUUUCCUUCCACGGGAUCCGUGCCGUAGCUAACGCAUUAAGUACCCCGCCUGGGGGAGAACGGCCGCAAGGCUAAAACUCAAAGGAAUUGACGGGGGCCCGCACAAGCGGCGGAGCAUGGGGGAUUAAUUCGAUGCAACGCGAAGAACCUUACCUGGGGUUUGACAUACACCGG